AGGUACCAGAAGACUCUGGAGAAACAGCCCCAAGGAGCAGAGGGGGAGGGAGCAACUCUGCCAGGCUCGCACUGGCCCAGACUGAUGGGUCCCGGAUAGAGUGACAUUUUCCCCAAACACUUUUUAUAACUGGGCUACGGUAUCAUCAGAGCUCACGAUGACUACCAGCCAGAAAAGGGGACAGAUCACCAAGCUUAAACCAAGAUCUCUUGGCUUGAAAGAAGGAUUGACCGAGAUGUACCAAGGGGAGUUGCUUUGUGACGUCACGCUGGUGGCCGAUGGACAGAGGUUUCCUUGCCACAGG